AGUAGAGGGCGCUAAAGAGACACUACAGGAACAAGGGGCUUUUCUCUUGGUUUUACUCCUGGUGUCUGACCUCCAGCAGUGCACAUGUAGGCUCAUCAGUCAGGCCAUGUGCCAUCAAGAUCCCUACAGUGUACAGUCCUUCUCCCGGAUCCUCUGCCUAGACUCAGAGACCCCUUGCCUUCACCCUUGUAACGUACCAGUUUUACACAGACCUCCUGAUCACUUUCCACCUACAGCUGGCUGACAAGGCGGCAGGACUUUGUUUCUUAAAGCCCUCCAAGUGUGAAUGCCUACUGUGUAUGGUCACGGGACAAGUCAAGAGAAGAAAUUUUACUUUGAUUCAUCAUUAAAGAGAGACUUGAAUCCAUCACUACAAGAGGAAUGCACAGGCAGCUCUUCACCUGACCAUUGUCCAGGAAGCAGAGUUCAGGAUUAGAGCCACAAGAGGAUAUAAAUUUCACGGGCCUGCCCCUGGUGGCCCAUCUAGUCUAGCAUCUCCUCAGGAGUCUACAGCCUUCAAAGCAGCCCCCACAAACUGGGGAAUCAAGUGUUUAAAACAUGAGACUAAGAAUGCCAUUUAGAUUCAGAGCAAAACAGACAAAAGACUAAGCCCAGGAAAACAAUUAAGGCUUGAGAAUUGUGUGUGAGAACAGCAUCCAAGUUAGGAGGCCUGCAAAGCUGCUUUGUAGCCAUACACAAGUGACUGGCAACUGCUGACAAGCCACCACAGACAGGAUCAAGAGCAUGAGUUACUCCAGGCUUUGGGCUUUGGGAGGCAGCAAUUUUUAUUGGGGGGGGGGGUGAGGGUUAGGGAAAGGGUUCCCUGUUCUACAUCAGGUGAUCAUGUCAACCACCGUCAUGGUGCUGAAGGACCUGCUAAAUCUGGCCUUGUUCCUGCCUUGGCAGGCUGCCAGGCAUAGCCAGGAUGAUGGAGGGGUGUUUUUACAAGUGUCAAGCCCCAGGAACAUCGUCUUCAUCCUGUCUGAUAAAGCCCAGAGUCCGACAAGCAUCAGGGAAAAACACAGGUUCUAGUUCCAUUCCAACCCCUGCAGGCCUGCUCACUAAAAACUUCUGACAAUGUCAACUUAAUAGUUGUAAUUUCUCAGUCUUUAUGUUUGAGAAACCAUUCGGGGAUGUAGUUUUCACUUUGAGUAGUUUUUUUUUUUUCUUCUUCUUCUUCUUCUUCUUUCAGAUUUCCCUUCCUCAAGCAGCGUGAGAAAGAAAAGCAAGGUACAAGCAGCCAGAAGCCAGACACCAAGAAGGAGGUGAUGACUGCUCCAUCAAGGGAAACAAGGGGUUACUGUGGGCCCCUGGUGGUGGCCUGGAGGGCAGGGACAAGGGCAUUGUGAUCUGUGAGUGACUCCUGCCUCCAGGGGGAGAGAGGGACAGAGAAUGUGGUGGUAUUCCUUGUGCACCCAAUUAUGGUGCUUAUCUUCGAAUGGUCAGGAACUCAUGAAUCAAAUGCAAAAUAGGGGCAUGCACAUCGUGAAGUUUCUUUGGAAAAAAUUCAGGAAGUUGGUUCAUUUGAGGACAUUAUUAACAAAUAAGAGCAGGUAAAUUUUACAGAAUUUAAAACAUUGAAGCAAAUUAGAUAUUUUCCUGUGCAAUAAGUUUAAAGGAAAAAAAAAAGACUUUAAAAAAAAA
rnacentral:lncRNA from 1 species